rnacentral:rRNA from 1 species
GAUGAACGCUAGCUACAGGCUUAACACAUGCAAGUCGAGGGGCAGCAUGGUCUUAGCUUGCUAAGGCCGAUGGCGACCGGCGCACGGGUGAGUAACACGUAUCCAACCUGCCGUCUACUCUUGGACAGCCUUCUGAAAGGAAAAUUAAUACAAGAUGGCAUCAUGAGUCCGCAUGUUCACAUGAUUAAAGGUAUUCCGGUAGACGAUGGGGAUGCGUUCCAUUAGAUAGUAGGCGGGGUAACGGCCCACCUAGUCUUCGAUGGAUAGGGGUUCUGAGAGGAAGGUCCCCCACAUUGGAACUGAGACACGGUCCAAACUCCUACGGGAGGCAGCAGUGAGGAAUAUUGGUCAAUGGACGAGAGUCUGAACCAGCC